UACAGAGGGUGCAAGCGUUAAUCGGAAUUACUGGGCGUAAAGCGUGCGUAGGUGGUUUUCUAAGUCAGGUGUGAAAUCCCCAGGCUCAACCUGGGAACUGCAUUUGAUACUGGAAGACUAGAGUGCGGAAGAGGAUGGUGGAAUUCCCGGUGUAGCGGUGAAAUGCGUAGAUAUCGGGAGGAACAUCAGUGGCGAAGGCGGCCAUCUGGUCUGACACUGACACUGAGGCACGAAAGCGUGGGGAGCAAACAGG
rnacentral:rRNA from 1 species